UACGGAGGGUGCGAGCGUGUCCGGAAUCACUGGGCGUAAAGGGCGCGUAGGCGGCCGUUCAAGGGCGCGGUGAAAGCCCGGGGCUCAACCCCGGGGUCGGCCGUGUCGACUGGAGGGGCUCGAGCUCUGUAGGGGCGGGGUGGAAUUCCGGGUGUAGCGGUGGGAAUGCGUAGAGAUCCGGAAGAACACCGGUGGCGAAGGCGGGCCUGCUGGGGCAGUAGCUGACGCUGAGGCGCGACGCG
rnacentral:rRNA from 1 species